rnacentral:rRNA from 1 species
AUCGAACGCUGGCGGCAUGCCUAACACAUGCAAGUCGAGCGGAGCGGCUGACGGGUGAGUAAUGCCUAGGAAUCUGCCCGGUAGUGGGGGAUAACGUCCGGAAACGGGCGCUAAUACCGCAUACUAUCAGAUGAGCCUAGGUGGGAUUAGCUAGUUGGUGGGGUAAAGGCCUACCAAGGCGACGAUCCGUAACUGGUCUGAGAGGAUGAUCAGUCACACUGGAACUGAGACACGGUCCAGACUCCUACGGGAGGCAGCAGUGGGGAAUAUUGGGCAAUGGGCGAAAGCCUGAUCCAGCCAUGCCGCGUGUGUGAAGAAGGUCUUCGGAUUGUAAAGCACUUUAAGUUGGGAGGCGUUACCAACAGAAUAAGCACCGGCUAACUACGUGCCAGCAGCCGCGGUAAUUC